AAAAGACUUCCCCGCCGUACCGUUUCGAUUUAAAUAACAAAUCAAACUAUUUACGAGUGAAUUAAGAAAAAAUAAAAUACUGCCUUCAGUGGAAUUGAAAGCUCUCUGUUUCUUUCUACAGAUUGUGAUUCUAUUUUUGUAUCUACACGUUCACUGAGCGUAUAGGAAAUUUUACUGAAACAAACAAUAAACAACCAGAACUUUUAGUGCUCUAGGUAGACAGACGGCUGAAGUACAAAAACACAUUUUUCAAAAUCGAAAUAUCGCAACUAAAAUGAAUAAAUUAGAAGAACAAAAGUGCACUUACCCGUCAUGGCCGCGAUGGUGCACCGACUUUUUGUCCCUACACAUUGAACUCGAGUUGCCCAUCAUUUAGAAUAGUUUCAAGUAUUAAGUAUUAUGAAAAAUGUCUGACUUGAAAAUUAAAUUUAAGCACCAGCACUUGGAAAAGGUUCACUGCAUGUUUGAGGUGUUAAACAUGUUAAGUCGAUUGAAUCCAGUCUCAAACUGAACUCACCUGGCUAAUUGUUUUCAAGUUACGGGUUUUUGUUUGUUUCUUUCUAAUUCACUAAAUAACUUUAAAAGUUG